CAGACCCUCCGCCCGGCUGCUGUAUGUAAACAUUUACCCAGUGUCACUUUCAGUCCAAAUCUGUCAUUUGAAGACCCAGGGCUUGCUCUCUCUGCUCUGAAGCAGAACGUAGAACACAUUUUGCAACUUCAAAUGGCAAAGAUGACCAGACAAGAAUAUGUGGAUGCUGUGGUGCAAGUGGAUGCAGCGUCCAUACCACUUUUGGGUCCAAGUGCCCAAGGACCCAGGUCUCAGUCUGACCCAUGGCCAUUUCCUGAUCCCACCCAGGGAUGGAGUGGUAAAAUAAGAGUUGGAGCUGGAAGGAGGAGGCAAGACACAUCUGAACACACCAACCCUCAGACACUCAGACACACUCAGAGCUUGGAUGACAAACUCAUGCUUAAUACCUCUGCCCAGAACUGGAAACUAGUAGGGCCACGUAAUUAUGUAGCCGCAGUACAGAGAGAGCUG